rnacentral:rRNA from 1 species
AUACGGAGGGUGCAAGCGUUACUCGGAAUUACUGGGCGUAAAGGACGCGUAGGCGGUUUAGAAAGUCAAAUUUGAAAGCCUAUGGCUUAACCAUAGAACUGCAUCUGAAACUCCUAGACUAGAGUGAGGGAGAGGUCAGUGGAAUUAGUGGUGUAGGGGUAAAAUCCGUAGAGAUCACUAGGAAUACUCAUAGCGAAGGCGACUGACUGGAACUUUACUGACGCUGAGGCGUGAAAGCGUGGGGAGCAAACAGGAUUAGAAACCCUAGUAGUCC